rnacentral:rRNA from 1 species
CAAUAGCGUAUAUUAAAGUUGUCGCAGUUAAAAAGCUCGUAGUUGGAUUUCUGGUAGGAGUGACCGUUCCGAACUUGAUUGUUCGUGUAUUGUGUUUUCUCCAGCCAUCCUUGUGGAGAACUUUUCUUGCAUUAAUUUGUAGGGAUUGGGACCCGCAUCGUUUACUGUGAAAAAAUUAGAGUGUUUAAAGCAGGCAAUCGCUUGAAUACAUUAGCAUGGAAUAAUAAGAUAGGACUUUGGUACUAUUUUGUUGGUUUGCAUACCAAAUUAAUGAUCAACAGGAACAGUUUGAGGAUAUUCGUAUGAACAUGUCAGAGGUGAAAUUCUUGGAUUUUGAUCAGACGAACUACUGCGAAAGCAUUUAUCAAGGAUGUUUUCAUUAA